rnacentral:rRNA from 1 species
AACGAACGCUGGCGGCAUGCCUAACACAUGCAAGUCGAACGAUGCUUUCGGGCAUAGUGGCGCACGGGUGCGUAACGCGUGGGAAUCUGCCCUUGGGUUCGGAAUAACAGUGAGAAAUUGCUGCUAAUACCGGAUGAUGUCUUCGGACCAAAGAUUUAUCGCCCAGGGAUGAGCCCGCGUAGGAUUAGCUAGUUGGUGGGGUAAUGGCCUACCAAGGCGACGAUCCUUAGCUGGUCUGAGAGGAUGAUCAGCCACGCUGGGACUGAGACACGGCCCAGACUCCUACGGGAGGCAGCAGUGGGGAAUAUUGGACAAUGGGCGCAAGCCUGAUCCAGCAAUGCCGCGUGAGUGAUGAAGGCCUUAGAGUUGUAAAGCUCUUUUACCCGGGAUGAUAAUGACAGUACCGGGAGAAUAAGCUCCGGCUAACUCCGUG